rnacentral:rRNA from 1 species
UACGUAGGGUGCGAGCGUUUAAUCGGAAUUACUGGGCGUAAAGCGUGCGCAGGCGGUUCGUUGUGUCUGAUGUGAAAGCCCCGGCUCAACUUGGGAACGGCAUUGGAAACUGGCGAGCUAGAGUGUGGCAGAGGGGGUGGAAUUCCGCGUGUAGCAGUGAAAUGCGUAGAGAUGCGGAGGACACCGAUGGCGAAGGCAGCCCCUGGGCUGACACUGACGCUCAGGCACGAAAGCGUGGGAGCAAACGG